CCCUUAGAUGUUCUGGGCCGCACGCGCGCUACACUGACGAAUGCAACGAGCUUAUAACCUUGGCCGAAAGGUCUGGGUAAUCUCCAAAUUUCUUCGUGAUGGGGAUAGAUUAUUGCAAUUAUUAAUCUUCAACGAGGAAUGCCUAGUAAGCGCAAGUCAUCAGCUUGCGUUGAUUACGUCCCUGCCCUUUGUACACACCGCCCGUCGCUCCUACCGAUUGAAUGGUCCGGUGAAGCGUUCGGACCGUGGCCUUUGGACGGUUCGCCGUCUGUUGGCUGCGGGAAGUUCGUUAAACCUUAUCAUUUAGAGGAAGGAGAAGUCGUAACA
rnacentral:rRNA from 1 species